ACAGUUGGAACGACUGCUAAUACCAGAAUGUGCCUUAGGGUGAAAGAUUUAUUGUCUAGAGAUUGGCUCGCGUCAGAUUAGCUAGUUGGAGUGGUAACGGCACACCAAGGCGACGAUCUGUACUUGGUCUGAGAGGAUGACCAGGCACACUGGAACUGAGACACGGUCCAGACUCCUACGGGAGGCAGCAGUGGGGAAUUUUCCGCAAUGGGCGAAAGCCUGACGGAGCAAUACCGCGUGAGGGAGGACGGCUUUUGGGUUGUAAACCUCUUUUAUCAGGGAAGAAUCGAUGACGGUACCUGAUGAAUCAGCAUCGGCUAACUCCGUGCCAGCAGCCGCGGUAAUACGGAGGAUGCAAGCGUUAUCCGGAAUUAUUGGGCGUAAAGCGUCCGUAGGUGGUUUAUCAAGUCUGCUGUCAAAGCGUGCGGCUUAACCGCAUAAGGGCAGUGGAAACUGAUGAACUAGAGUGCGAUAGGGGUAACAGGAAUUCCCAGUGUAGCGGUGAAAUGCGUAGAUAUUGGGAAGAACACCAGCGGCGAAAGCGUGUUACUGGGUCUGCACUGACAC
rnacentral:rRNA from 1 species